GGGGGUCGCGGUCGGCCCACAGGCUGGGCACUAACGGGUCCCGGGGCGCCGGGGCGGACUGCGGCGGUGAGCGCGGCUGCAGGCCGCGGUCGUAGUGGACUAAUUUUACAGGCGAAGUUAAGUGACUUACCCAAAACCUCACAGCUAAUAAACGGCAGAGCCGGCACCCAGCUGUACUGGCUUCCAGCGCAUCCCAUUAUCUCCAUAAAUCCCCCUGAUUCAACUAAUAUUAGACGCCCCACAGGUAAGAUGCUUCAGAGUUAGAGGGGAGUUGAAGAUACCUUUGCCUUCAAAGAAGUAAGGAAUGAAACAAAGAUAAAACAGACAAUAAAAGACAAACCAUGAUAGGUGCCACGUGAAAAGUGGCAGAGUACUGCCGGGAAUCAAAGAACCGUGUAUAUCUGUCUUGGGGAUAAGGAAAGAAACGCAGCAUGAAGGAGUAGGCAUUUGGGAUUGACCUUGAAGGAGACAGGGAGAGUUUUACAGCAAGAAGGGAUAGCAUGAGAAUAUAUAUGAAGGCGAAUCAGUGAAAGUUGUGUUGGGGAAAGAGCAAAGACUCCAGGUAUGUUGAGAGGUAGAAAAGACAAAGGAGUAUGGGGCCUAAGAUACCAAAUGGAUGAAUUUAUAUUUAAUUCAGUAUUUUGAGUUUUUAUGGUUCAGAAGUUUGGGGGAAGAAAAGGAAGGUUUUUUUUUUCUUUAUGCUAGUGAUUUAUCUGUGAAGGGAAGCAGAAAUCAGAGGUGGAAAAACUGACAGAUCUACUGUAGGCCAGGUAAAAGGUAAUGAUGAGUCUGACCUAAAGGGACAGCCAGGGGAAUUUAAAGAGCAUAGUUGAGAGAUGAUGUGCAUGCAGAAUCUAUAGAAUUUGCUAACUGAUUGAUUAAUUGUGGGUAGGAAGAGAGAAAUCAAAGAAAGUGGAGGUUUUGAGUUUCUAGAUAAUUGCAAGAGAGAAAAGAGACAAUUACAAAGGAAAGGAGAAGGAGCUACUUCUUGAGAGAAGAUCAGUUUAGAUUUAGACAUUUUAAGAAUUCAAAGGGUUGUCAAGACAGCCAGACGGACAUGGACACUAAUAAGUUAGAAAUAAAGGUUUUGUAAUAUGGGAAAGAGGACUGAGCUAGAAAAUAGACUCAUAGAUAAUCAGCCUAGGAGUGAUAUUGCUGUGAGAUAAAAGAAGAAAACAAAGUCAGAAUCUUGGAAAACACCCUCUUCAGAGUCUCGCUGCUCAAAACGUGGUCAGUGGCCCAGCAGCACUGACAUGAGGACCUUAGUUGGAAACUCAGAAUCUCAGGCUCCACCCCAGACCUGCUGAACCAGCAUCUUCAACUUAACAAGAACCCGAAGAGAUUUGUGCCACAUCAAAAAGUUUGAGAAGCUCUGAUCUAGGUGAGCCAAGCCAGCAAAGAAAGGGGGUGGAGCAGAAAAUGGGAGGAGAAUAGGGUAAUGCAGAAUCAUCAAGACAAGGUAAAUUGGACUUUCACAAAAACGGGGCUGGAAGGAGUGUUGCUCAACAAUAUCCAAAACCACAGAGGUUGAAAAGCACAAGGAAAGAAGCUGGACCCUGGACACGGUGACUCUGAUUCAAUUAUGCAGAUGACCACAAGCCUCUGGGGUUGGCAGAGCCACAAGAAAGAAGGUGCCUGGAUGAAGGAGAGCUACCCACUGACCUGGACACCCAAUUAUAGGAUAGACAGUGAAGUGCAACUACAGCCCGCAAAUGAAAAUGAAUAAAAUUAAUCCAGCCCCUCAAGGCAGUCAUCUGUCUUAGAGCUAUUGGAAUCCUGGAUCAUUGUGGGAAAUGAAAAGAACUGGUUUUUAGCAAGGAGACCAAGAAACUCUACUCCCUAGGGGCUAGCAAUGAGAGAAAGGAAGCCUUGAGUCUUUGAGCACAGGGUGACAGUUUGGGUCCUAUGUGAGAUGAUCAAAUCCACAGCAACAGAGGAAAGGACAAAAGGAAAAGAUACUUCGAUGGAAUCAGCAGCCAUUGAUCCAAUGCCAACUCCAAGACUGGAACGUCGCAAUGAUAGUUCCAAGGCGGAAAUUUGACGUAAUUCUUUUCGACACAGUUUUACAGGUCUGGAUGCCCAUUUUAAUUCUUCUGAAAGCAUGCCUCCUUCUGGCUUCAGGACUCCAUCUCCAGCCUUAUGAUCUAAAAAUAAUCCCCAAACCAAAAAAUUAGAUAUUAUUUCCUCAAAAUUAGGUGUUUUAAUCAAAACAUCUUAACAUAAAUACAUUAUUAUCACCCAAUAUGCAUAAUGUUGUUCAACUUUUUUGUUAAAUGACUUAUUUUAGAUGAACAGAUGUGUGAAUAUGAAUAUUUUUAUUUCACUUACAGGCAUCUUGCAUGUGAAUAACUCACAACUUUAAUUCAUGGAACAAAUUGAGAAAUAGUCUUUUGGGGGUUUGGUACUCCCUGGAAACAUAAGAGUGCUUUGGGCACCUCUGGUGCCUUUCCAUGCCUGCCUUCUCUGCUGUUCUUGCUACUAGUGAAUUCUAAAUCAUGGCCAAGUGAUGCCAGCACUGGAUAAUAUUGGCUCUGCCCCAUAUCUCGAGGGAAAACUCUGGGACUUGGCAUUAUAUGUGUGGGAAUCUGGCCUUGGUUGGCACUCCCAGCAUGAUAGCAGGGUUCUGCUGUCUGAAUGUACUCUGGGGUGUGCGCCACAAUUUCUGUCAUCGAAAUGGAGAUGAGAGAAUAUGCCCUUGGUGGGGACACCCCACUGGAAUUAGAGUGAAGAGAUCAAAGCUAGAGGUUCUUAAAUCAAAGAAUGUCUAAUAGCAAAGACAAAAACUUGCUUAAGAGAAAUGCAUACAGGUACUAGACCUAAUAUGAUGAAAAAUGCUAACUUCAACAUAUUGAUGCAUGCUUAGUAUACUUUUAGUCCUGCAAAGACAAAAGUUUUUUGUUUGUUUUUUUUUGAGACGGAGUCUCGCUCUGUCGCCCAGGUUGGAGUGCAGUGGUGUGAUCUCGGCUUACUGCAAGCUCUGCCUCCUGGGUUCACACCAUUCUCCUGCCUCAGCCUCCGGAGUAGCUGGGACUACAGGCGCCCGCCACCACGCCCGGCUAAUUUUUUGUAUUUUUAGUAGAGAUGGGGUUUCACCGUGUUAGCCAGGAUGGUCUCGAUCUCCUGACCUCAGGUGAUCCGCCUGCCUUGGCCUCCCAAAGUGCUGGGAUUACAGGCAUGAGCCACCGCACCUGGCCCAGUCCUGCCAAGACAAAGUUUUAAAACACAGGUUGCACAUUGGCAGCUCUCAAGCCAAAUCUGGCCCAUAGACAUGGUUUGCUUGGCCUAUAAUGUUAGUAAUACUUGACCCAAGAUUUAAAAUUUGAAAAGUUUCAUAUAAAAAUAUAGAUUUACAGCUUUUCUAGAAAAACUAUAAGAGUUAACAGUUUCUGAAUUGCAACAGCAGCUGGAACACCGUUGCCACUGACCAUUUAGAUGACUGCUGCAGUCCCCACGGCUCACUCUGGUUCAGGUAGGGGUUCUAGUUUGUAACCCCUGGUUUAAAACAUAACUGACUCUCUAGUUUUUAAAAUUCUCUCAAAAUCAAAUAACCUGAACUAGCAAAUGAUCUAGAUCCUCGUACAUGGAACUCAUACUAAGUUGACCACAGACAGUGGCUCCCAAACUCUGCAGUACAUCAGAGUCACUGGGAAGCUUUAAAAAAUCCUGCUCCCUAGCUGGGUGCAGUGGUUUAUGCCUGUAGCCCCAGCUACUUGAGAGGCUGAGGUGGGAGGAUUGCUCAAGCCCAGGAGUUUGAGGCUGCAGUGAGCCAUGAAUGUACCACUACACUCCAGCCUGGGCAACAGAGCAAGACCCCAACUCUAAAAAAAAAUCCUGCUCCCCAGGUGACAGUAUCUGGGGGAAGGAGUAAGGCAUCUUAUUUUCAAAAGAUCAUAAGAAAAGAGGCUCAUUGCUGAGGCUCACUCCGGAGCCCACUUGGAUUCUUCACAAGAAAGUUUCCCUCUUCCAGAAUUUUAUAAUUGAGGGAACCGACUAGGGAAAGAUUAAUUUGCCCAAGGUCAAACAACUAGUAAAAGAAGUAAGGAUUCCAACCCAGAUCUUUUGACUCUAUUAUCCUUACAUAUAGUUUUAUAGUGAUUUAAAUUGAUACAAGGAUAGGUUUAAAUACAAGUAGAAUGCAGGUUCAUAUAAAACUGAUUUUAUCCUCAUGUUAGAAAACAUAUACACUGUAACAGAGGGAUGACCAUCAAGUGACCAAGAUAUUUUAGUCAAAAGAUGAAUUUUUCUGCAAUUGGAGAAUGCCAAAAAUAUUCAAAGAAAAUAUAAGUCUUGUAGGCAGUCUUCUAUCAAAACCCACUGAACCGCUGGGCACGGUGGCUCAUGCCUGUAAUUCCAGCACUUUGGGAGGCCAAGGCUGGUGGAUCACCUGAGGUCAGGAGUUUGAGACCAGCCUGGCCGACAUGGUCUCUACUAAAAAUACAAAAAAUUAGCUGGGCCUGGUGGCGGCACCUGUAAUCCCAGCUACUGAGGAGGCUGAGGCAGGAGAAUUGUUUGAACCUUGGAGGUAGAGGCUGCAGUGAGCUGAGAUAGCACCACUGCACUCCAGCCUGGGUAACAAGAGUGAAACUCCAUUCAAAAACAAAAAACAAACAAAAAAAAAACAAUGCACCAAAUACUAAGUUAUUAACUAGGAUACUGAUUAUUAAGCAUGUAAAACAUUUUAUGGAACUCAGAGUUUGAUGUAAAUUGCUAUAUUUUAUAAUUCAAACAAACCUUGUUUCAUGUCAUUAUAUUAGAGUAGCAUUAUGAGACAGGAUAUAGUGUAAGCUAUAUCCCCAAUAUAAUUGCAACUGUAUAUUUUAAAGCAUGGGGAAAAUAUGAAAAGAAUUAUGCUCAAAUGUGGGUAGGAUUAUAACUGAUUUGUUUUCUUCAUUUUCAGAUUUUUCUAUAAUGACUAUACAUUAUUUUUAUAGUCAAAAAUAGAAGUAUUUUAAAUGUUUCUAGGUAGAAUAGCAAAUUAGCUGAAAUAGUAUCUCCAACGUUAUUAUCAAGACUAGACUCCUUGGGUAAAUUGGUCAGAACAGUGUUGUUCUCAUUUUACACCUCUCCAAGAUUAACUAUGUUUUAGAUUUGUGUGUGUGUUUGGUUAAAGAGCCAGGAUGAAGAUCCAGAGUUCUUAAACCUGUAUACCACCAUACUACAUUGUCAUUUUAAAGAAAUGUCUAGUAGACUCGGUGGCAUAAACAUGGGCCAUUUACAAACUAGAUGUCUAAUAUCAGAUACCUCAAAUUUGACAGUAGACUUUUUUUCAAAGCUAAAGUGGUCUUAUGUUGACUAUUUUGUUUCUUACUUGAUACUUGUUUACUUUUUAAUUUUUGGCAAGUAAUGUUUCAAGUUAAAGUUUUAGCUAUAUAUAGCAGGCAGUAUUUCAAGUAAAUGAGUUACAUCAGUAAACACCUCUGUAUUACUAAACUGAGAAUCAGAAAAUGUAAUCUCUUUGGCAGGAUUCGUAUGUUUGUAUCACGUCUUUAUCCUCAGGCAACUUUUAUCUUGGAAUACUGAACCAGCAGUCAGAAUAUGAGGGACAUUAGACUGUGUUAUAGUUACUGUUCUGUCCUUAAGUCACUUGCCUUCUCUAAGUGUCAGUUGCCUCAUCUGAAAAUGGAGUUAGCAGACCCCAGCCUAUCCUGAGUUUGAGGGCUAAAGGGAAUUAUUCUUGAAAAUGUCUAUACAUGAUAAAUGUCACAAAUAUAACUUAGCAUUUUUUUUUUGAGACAGAGUUUCGCUCUUGUGGCCCAGGUCGGGGUGCAAUGUCGUGAUCUCAGCUCACUGCAACCUCUGCCUCCCGGGUUCAAGCGAUUCUCCUGCCUCAGCCUCCUGAGUAGCUGGGAUUACAGGCAUGCACCACCACACCUGGCUAAUUUUGUAUUUUUUAAUAGAGACGGGGUUUCACCAUGUUGGUCAGGUUGGUCUCGAACUCCUACCCUCCGGUGAUCCACCCGCCUUGGCCUCCCAAAGUGCUGGGAUUACAGGCAUGAGCCACCGCACCUAGCCAAUUCUACUUCUAUUACAUUUUCAGCAUAUAUCACUUCAUUGCUCCUCCAUAUUAUUUUUCACUGGUCUUCUUACAUCUUGUGUGCCCAUAUUUAAGUAGUUUUCUUUCCAGGUAAAAAAUACAUGUGUGCCUAAAAGAUUUUAAAGUCAACUUUUCAUAAACCAUACCUAAAUUAUCAAAGUUAUUAGAAUUAUUAGAAAGUAUUAGCUAAUUCUUUUAUAAAAUGUAGACUUUAUUAUUUUAGAAAUAUUGAUUCCUCUCUAUUCAGCUAUCUUAAAGAGGGUAUAUUUUAAUCAUCGCAAUAUAUUACCUUCAUAGUAUUUUUUACUUUUGCAAAGUAUAUUUUGUCAUGUUAUUUCAUUUAGGAAUGCACUAAAUCUACAUAUCUACAUAUGAUUAUACAAGGAAACAUCUUUGUCUCAAAAAUGGGUUCUAUUACAUUUUUUAAUUUCCAGGGGUCAUGAUAUAUAAAAAGACCUGAUUUAUCUUAAAAAUACAUACUUUUAUUCUUACCUACCAUACAUCUUUUUUUGUGAUAAUCAGAAGGCUUAAUUUACUAUAAAAUAGGAAAACAACAGCUAUGUUAGAUUAUAUAGUUAAUUUAGGGAUUAAAUGAGUUAAGGUCUACAAGCCCCUGGCACAUGGCAGACAAUCAAUAAUUGAUCAUUUCCUUUGCAUCUAUAAAUUUGUUCAUUCACUUCUCAUGUGGUUCUACCUUAGACAACGAUUUUUGUUUACAGAGACAAAUAGAAGUAUCUAAUCCUAAAUAACCCAAUCAAUUGGUAAAGGCUACACUACAAAGCUGGCAUGACUUCACCAAAUGCUAGAGAAACAGUGUUAAGAGUGACAACACUAAAAGUCUUACACUCUGAUGAUGCUAGUUGCCGCCGAAUUGCUUCCCCUACCAGUUCCUUAAGUUUCUUCUUAUGAUCCCGGCUGGUUUUCUUAUAGAAAUAAAGAUCUUUUUCCAACUGCUGGAUUUUAUCUUCAUAUGUUUUGAAAGUUUCCAUAAUGCCUUCUCCAUCUUGUUCUAUACAACAAAAAUUUGCAUUUAAAAUCAGUUUUAAAUAAAUGAUGCAAAAUUAUGUUUUUGUUUGUUUCUUUGUCUUUUUGAAACGGAGUCUUGCACUGUCGCCCAGGCUAGAGUGCAGUGGCGUGAUAUGCUCGGCUCACUGUAAGCUCCGCCACCCAGGUUCACACCAUUCUCCUGCCUCCGCCUCCCAAGUAGCUGGGACUACAGGUGCCCAGCACCACGCCCGGCUAAUUUUUUUGUAUUUUUAGUAGAGACGAGGUUUCAUCAUGUUAGCCAGGAUGGUCUCGAUCUCCUGACCUCGUGAACUGCC
rnacentral:lncRNA from 1 species